CAUUCGCUUCGCCUCGUCGACCCCGAUCCCCCUAAUCAUGCUAUUCCUUCCGCUAAUUCCCCUGGUAACCGAUCCCCUGAGUCACGCACCGAUCCCCCCUGAGUUACGCUGCUCCGUCCGCGUCGCCAAUCGCUUCCGUCUCCUCCACCUCAACUCCUCUACCAUGACCACCCCUUCCCCGGUGUUGCUGGCCAUCGAACGGCCUGGCGAGGCCGCAGAGGCGGCAGGCUUGUGGAGCGUGUCGGUGAUCACUGUGGCGGGGGAAAGCGUGGCGUGGAGGGCGACGAACUACUCGACGGCUGCCUGCACCUCGACAUGGAGGCCCCCGCCGAUCGACAUGGAGGCCCCCGCCGAGCGCGCCGAGCUCGCCGCUGCCGUGCCGCUGACCCAUAAAUUUAUGGGGCGUAGAUAGGAUUGCGUGCUUCCCUGGAGAUGAAGUGGAGCUCCAUCUAUUGAGUGUUCCACAGCAUCCGAUCUGCUCUUCGACUCCCCGACUCCACCUCACCGUCCGCCUCCCCGACUCCACCUCCUUCUCCCCGGGCCCCGACUGCAAGCACGCCUGCUCCAACUCCUGCACCCUGGCCAAACCUAAGCACUCCAACGCCGCCGACACCAAACUCUUCCCCACGCGCCCGCACACCAUCGGCACAGAUAUUACAGACUAAAGGACUGCUUGAGUUCCGUUCUAAAAGUCUGGAGUAGCACAGGUUGCCCUGAUAGUAGCGUACAUCUCUAUGCUAAUUUCCUGCUGAUCAUAGAGCAAAGUGCUGUAUAGUUUGUUUGUCAGAUGGCAUCUUCGAAGCGAACUAGGGGGCGCACUUCAUUCCAAGACCUCACCAACACAUCCAGUAGUAAUGUUUAUCAACCUAUGUUAGUAAAGGUCCCUUCUAAUAGUCCCCGUCUACAUGUCUUUUGUAUUUUUAGAUGGCGUAAACGGAUCAGUUACAUCCGGAGCACAAUCACCAAUCGUAGAUCCCAAAAAAAGAAAGAAAGAGGCAAAGGGAAAGGGAGCGAUAUGCCCAAAUGUCUACCGAGCAAAAAGAAGCGUUACUGAAAAAACGUCGUAAAGCCCGUCAUCAAAAGAAGAUUGAGCUACCCUUGCCAAUGUCAACAACAACAAGUAGAUACUUUACAUAUAGGAAUCACACAACUCACCGUUGUAUGCAAGGUUAGACUUUGCUGGUUCUAUAUCAAUGUAUCAAUUUUGGUUCACUAUGUAUGUAGGCAUCUCCAACGUCCUUAGCAGUCCUGCUCUCCUAAUUGUAUGUCAAAGUCACAUCGCUUUUAGAGGGAGUCAUCAGAUGCAACAAGGAAAAUACGUCACCUGAAAAAAGUACCGAUUGCUUUGUCGAAAUGAUAUAAUCGAGAGGCUAUAUGUUCCUAUUCUAAAACAGGACCAAGAAGGCAUCACGAACAUUACUUAAGCUUAUCUUUCAGUUACAUGUAUAUUCUAAAACAUGGCUUGGAAUGAUAACUAACUGAUGGUACAUAGAGCAUUCAGAACAAUAAAUUCUUAGAUUAUGUUCAUAGGUGAAUCAUUCUUGAGCCCCUUUGCAGCAAGCUGUUUAUGCAUACUGCAUCUAAAAAAGCCCAUAUUGCAUAAGGUGAUUUCUCCGCAUUCUACCUCCUUGUUUAGUGGGAUUAGUCCCAAUAUUACAUAAUGAAUAAAAAGAUAAUAAAUAAGCUGACAUCAUGGGUUUGUUCCAUAUGUAUUGUUCAUGAGUAUAUAUAUAGCAUUCAUUCCAUAUUUGGAUAUAUAAUAUAUAUGUAUAACCAUGAUGCAAAUUUGAAGCUCACACUAAACACAUGCUUGCCCUCAUCACAUGUCAUUUUCCAUGUGAUAGGAAAGAGCGUGCUCAUAUACAAGAAUUAUUAAAUGAGCAAAUUGAAGCAAGAUGUGAAAUUCAUAGGGCAUAUUAUGCAAAUUUUACACUUGAGCAGAAGAAAGCAAGAAGUGAUCGUCGGUGUGUGCGUUGUGCAAAUAUAACACCCGACCAGAAACAGGUAGAGAAAGGUCGUAAAAAUGCACGACACACCUUCCUACGCAACACUCCGAGUAAAGAUGCCAUUGCAAUAGAGAACCCUUUUUAUAGCCUAUCAGAUAUGCCCCUUUCUCUUAGCACCUCUGCCCCCAAUGGAUCCGUAGUUACUGGUGACUCUCUUAGACUUGUUGUGGAAGGUUCCCCUAUGGAGGUGGAGAUCCGGGAUAUGAAUACAUGUCAACAAUCACAUAGAAAGCGUGUAACACCAGGUGAAAGGAGUAGAUCCUAUUGACGACACACAAGACAACAAUGUUGUGGAGCCUCUAACACAGUCAGACAUUGUGAAUAACGUUCCUUUGAUAGAAAAUCCCUUUUCAACCUCCCAACUUGCCACCGUCGCAAUGCCUCAAACACAAUCAUUCAUUAAUGAUGACGGUGAUGAUGAAGUCAUAUUCGAAGGGGACACAGACGAGGAGGACUACAUGUUCGUUGUUUAAGAUGGGGAUAAUGACGAGGAUGUCGAAUUUGAUGAAGCUGACGAUUCCACUGUCGCCGUCUCAAGCGUCCCCGAUCCGUACAACCACGUGUAUAGCAACAUACCCCAAAGCACGCACGUGCUUAAGCCCCAACCGUACUGUGAAUUAUGUGAUGCGAAGAAGUUCGAGUGUGAGCCUAAGGGGUUCUGCUGUCGUAACGGAAAGAUCAGUCUGUCUAAUCCAGAUACACCACUCGAACUUAUGAGGCUAUGGUCAAGCGCAGAUUCGGAUGCCAAGUAUUUUCGGGAUAGCAUUAGGUUCUUUAAUAGCUAUUUCUCAUUCACUUCUCUUUA